UGGGGAAUAUUGCACAAUGGGCGCAAGCCUGAUGCAGCCAUGCCGCGUGUGUGAAGAAGGCCUUCGGGUUGUAAAGCACUUUCAGCGGGGAGGAAGGCGUUAAGGUUAAUAACCUUGGCGAUUGACGUUACCCGCAGAAGAAGCACCGGCUACCUCCGUGCCAGCAGCCGCGGUAAUACGGAGGGUGCAAGCGUUAAUCGGAAUUACUGGGCGUAAAGCGCACGCAGGCGGUCUGUCAAGUCGGAUGUGAAAUCCCCGGGCUCAACCUGGGAACUGCAUUCGAAACUGGCAGGCUAGAGUCUUGUAGAGGGGGGUAGAAUUCCAGGUGGAGCGGUGAAAUGCGUAGAGAUCUGGAGGAAUACCGGUGGCGAAGGCGGCCCCCUGGACAAAGACUGACGAUCAGGUGCGAAAGCGUGGGGAGCAAACAGG
rnacentral:rRNA from 1 species